CCUACGGGAGGCUGCAGUAGGGAAUCUUCCACAAUGGACGAAAGUCUGAUGGAGCAACGCCGCGUGUGUGAUGAAGGGUUUCGGCUCGUAAAACACUGCUGUAAGAGAAGAAUGACAUUGAGAGUAACUGUUCAGUGUGUGACGGUAUCUUACCAGAAAGGAACGGCUAAAUACGUGCCAGCAGCCGCGGUAAUACGUAUGUUUCAAGCGUUAUCCGGAUUGAUUGGGCGUAAAGCGGGCGCAGGCGGUUGUUUAGAUCCGAAGGAACAGCCCACAGCUUAACUGUGGAAGUACUUUGGAAACUGGGUAACUUGAGUGCAGUAGAGGAGAGUGGAACUCCAUGUGUAGCGGUGAAAUGCGUAGAUAUAUGGAAGAACACCAGUGGCGAAGGCGGCUCUCUGGACUGUAACUGACGUUGAGGCUCGAAAGUGUGGGUAGCAAACAGGAUUAGAUACCCCGGUAGUC
rnacentral:rRNA from 1 species